rnacentral:rRNA from 1 species
UACAGAGGUGGCAAGCGUUGUUCGGAAUUACUGGGCGUAAAGGGCGCGUAGGCGGCCUUCUAAGUCAGACGUGAAAUCCCCCGGCUUAACCUGGGAACUGCGUCUGAUAUUGGAGGGCUUGAGUGCGGGAGAGGGAUGUGGAAUUCCAGGUGUAGCGGUGAAAUGCGUAGAUAUCUGGAGGAACACCGGUGGCGAAGGCGGCAUCCUGGACCGACACUGACGCUGAGGCGCGAAAGCUAGGGUAGCAAACGGG